AAGAGAAUAGUUGGGAAUCCAGGAUCGAAGAUAUCCAGCCAUGCCCAGAAAGGAAAGAAGUUCCCUUUUGGUUGUGGGGACUGGGAUAUCCCGAAGUGUUUGUUUUCUGUCUAGUGUGAUUGAUUUGAACUCAGGUGUUAAAGAUACUCCUAAAUAGGUGACCUGUUGUUUGAAAAGUUGGACAUUUGUUGGUGACACCCGAUAUCCUUUCUGAGAGAUAAAGUUUAGGAGUGUGUAAGUGUCUUGCUGGAGUGUGAGUAAUGAAGGAGCACAGAGAAGGAGUUCAUCUACAUACUGAAUACACUGUGUAUCGUUGAGUUGGAGAAGAGAAAGAUCUUGGGCUAGAAUUUGACCAAACAGGUGGGGGCUAUCUCUAAAACCCUGAGGCAAGACAGUCCAGGUAAGCUGGGUAGACACAUUGGUGAAGGGAUCGGUCCAGGUGAAUGUGAAAAUAUUUUGAGAGUCUUUAUGUAAGGGGAUAGAAAAGAAUGCAUCUUUGAGGUCUAAAACAGAAAAAUAAGUGGCAUCGGAUCGAAUGGAAGACAGGAGUGUAUAUGGGUUUGGCACGAUAGGAUGUAUAGGAACUACAGCUGAGUUAAUGAUCCUAAGGUUUUGAACCAAUGUCUAUGUCCCAUUAGGUUUUUUUACUGCUAAAAUGGGGGUGUUAUAGGGAGAGUUGGCAUGUCUCAGGAGUCUCUUUUGUAAGAGAUCAUGGAUUAUGGGGGUUAAUCCCUCUAAGCUAGAGCGGGGAAGGGGGUAUUGUGCCAAGUUAGGGAAUUGUGAGGGAUUUUUAAGGAGAAUUUUGACGGGACAUUUGGCUACUGAGGGAGAGUGGAUAUCCCAUACUUGAGGAUUAACAAGAGAGGGGCUAAUUGGCCAGUUGGAUUGGGAAGAUGAGGAUUGGAGGGCUUGAGAUAGUACCAGGCAGAGGGAAGUUGUCGGAGUGUUGGAAGGGCUCGGCAUAGA